GAAAAUUUGGUUUUGGCACUAAUUUUUUUUGUUUUUUGGGAACUUUUUUUUUCUGCCAAAUCUUUUUUCAUCUCAACAAAAAUAUUUCACUUAUUCAACCUAGAAAAAAAAAGUAGAAGCUCGAUUCUUUUCCAGUCAAAACUCCGGCGAGUUUACCCACCCCUUCUGUUCUCAAUCCAACGACGCUUCUACCCGAAAAUCACAGACCCUAUCUAUUCUCUCUGCUUCUGCGAUUGGAGGCGAAGAAGAUCUGCUGCUACUCUUCAAUGGCGGAUAAGCUAAUCGUGGCAAGCGGCGAGCCUGUAGACGGGGUUCUCAUUUCGUGUUUCUAUCUUGAAGUAUCCAAGUCGGAGGGAUACGAAUCUGACACCAGGAUCUAGUACAAAGCAGAAGUAGAGGAGGAGGGGACAUGAAGAGAGUGAAAACCAGAACCCAAAUUUAGCCACGCCUCCAAGAUCAUGGCGAGCAGCACUCAAGUCAUCUUCCGCCAAGAAGAUGAGAGAGACGGCACCGAAGCUAAAGAGCACGCAAGAAAGCCAUUGCUGGAAGUGAGCAAAGAGAAGUUCCAUGAGUCCACAGACGUUAAAGGAAGCACCUUUAAAGAGAACCGUAGAAGGAAGAAGAGAGUGGAUGAUGCGGAGAACAUUCCUGUCUGUCUUAAUGAGGAGACGACUGUUGUAAAGAUGAAAGGAGAGGAGUGUAAAAGUUACAAGAUGAAAGGAAAGGAGAGGAGUGGAUGAUGGUUCGACGCUAAGAAACUGUUCAAGUUUCGUUAUGCUCUCUUGGAAGUUACAAGCUCUUGACACUGAGUGGCCUGAUGUGGAGUCUGUGAUCAAGGAGGUGGAAUGGUUGAAGGAAUUCAAUCUGUUUCCAAAAUUUGGUUCUUAUGCUUCAACUUCCGAGAGAUUGGACCAAGGCACAACUACUUGCAAAGGAGGACAAGCCAGAAAGCACUGAGUGGAGACUGAGCAUCGCUAUUCACUUGAACUUGAAUUGAAUCACAGCGUGUUUGGAUGAUAUAUCCUGGCAGUAGAAUGACUGAUGCUCUAUCAAUUUGUUUUUGUUUAUGUAAAUUUUGGAUAUGAAAAUUUUGGAUGAUAUAUGAAAUAAUGUAUGUUUUAUAAGUUUA